AUCAAAUUUAGGGACUUUACUGACGGGACUCUGGGCUGGCUGCUCUGUUCACUCGUCAGCGCAAGUGGCGUGACCAUGUAAUUGGGGCACGGGGCCGGCGCGGCGCGCUGCGGGCUUGCAGAAUUUUGUUUGUUUGUUUGGCCGCACGCUGGCGCAGCCACGGGCCGCGGUUACUGGGGCGCGCUGUCGUAACAAGCCGCGCGGUGUGGCCUGCACAUUGGGGUAGAGGGGGGGUAGUCUUCCCAGAUGUUCUAGUUAGUUGUUUAGUAAAUUUGACUUCAAUAACGAGCUUUUGUUAUGGUAGGCGCGGCAGGGCGCGCGAAUUUAAGCGCAAGUGAUUGGUGACUCGGGGCUCACUCAGGCGGAGGCUAUGCGUCUCACCUGUGGUCACGAGUUGUUAGUUCGUUCGUGAUGUAGGAAUUCAAGCUUUCGGGCGGAAGCUAUGGCCGACGCCAGAGGCCACGAGUCGUUUAAUUUAAGUUAGGUCAUAAUGUAGUCAUCUUCAAGCUUUCGGGCGGAGGCUAUGGCCCUCGUCAGGGGUCACGCGUCAUAGUUUUUAAAAUGUAAUGUUCGUUCGGGAUUUCAAGGGCAGGAGAGGCCCCUACGUUAUUUUUUUAAAGUAAUCGAUCAAGAAAGGCUUUUCGGAAAAUGUGAGUAUGGACUUAUCUUUGUUUUAAUUUUAAGUAUUAAUUAUGAUUUGAGGUAUUCGGAAGGACUAGGGAAGUGUUUAGUGAAGUUCUCUCAUUCUCUCUCUUGUAAGGUCGUUCAAUCGUUAAGGAAGUAAAGAGAUUAUUGUUUUAAAUUGUAAUCCUGCUAUUUAAAUGUUCUUUAAAAUGAUGUUGAGUAUUUGACUUUAAGAAUAAAAUAAUUUUAAUUAAGUAUUAUGUUAUUUUGCAAAAUCUCCUUAGUUCAGCUCUCACCAGACAUCCUGUACGGGAUGACGAACCUAUGAUCCUAGGUACAGUAAAGUAUUUUAUGAAGUUAAGACUAGUUGAUGCCAAGCGAGUUGUUUCUAUGUAAAGAGCUACGAUUCUCGCCCCCCCCCCCCCUCUGAAGGUGGAUCGUGACAGAAAUGGUAGAGUUCGCCGGAUAGGUUCUAUUUUUGGAGAGAGAGAGAGGUAGAUUUUUAUGUUUAUUAUUAAGUUAGUUUCAGCUUCUGAUAGCAGGUUAUUAAGAGUUUACUUGAGGAGAGGAUUACGGAAUUUAAUCUAAGUGGAGGAAGUCUUUGAGAUUUUUUUUUGACGUAACAGAUGUUUAUUUGAGGAUACUUGUAAGGAUAAAGUUUAUAGUGAUAAGUUGUUUUAAGUCGUUGAAUUUAUUGUAGAUUUAUAUCGGGGAUUAUUACGUGAGGAGAAUACGUUAUAAGUUAAAUGCUUAUUAGAGAUAAUGCAAGUGGUUUAAUUUAAUUGAAGUUCAUUUUAAGAUUGUAGGUUAAGAGAAUUAUAAUUUAAAAUAAAAAUUUUUUGUCGUAAAUAGGAAUUAUUUUCAAGUGAAGUUUGUUUUGUUGUCGUGCGCGUAGGAGACGAGACGUACGAAUUAAAUCAGUCGAGGGAAGGAUAAACGUUAGAAAGGAAUUAAAGAGAAAACGAGAGUUUAUGUAAAAGAGAGUUAUAGAAUUUAUAGUGAUGUUUUGUUUUAAUUAGAAAAAUGUUGAGAGUUGUUUCAGAACGACACGUCAGUGGACGUGGCAGAAUGAACACGUGACGGGGAGGUGCUGAGACCUAGCGGAGAACGGAGGAACCGCAAGCGAGGGUUGGCGCACCUGAUGGAAUUCGGUGACGUCACGGGCUCAUACGGAGACGUGGACGGCCGUGACCUUGUUUUGAUCAGCUGUACGGUAACUUAGCGAUAAGAAAAUAGACUAUUGGUUAAAUAAAUUUAAAUUUAAGUGUGUUUUAGAAGAAGAGGAACUUUCAGUAUAUUCCUUAAGAUGAGCUGAGCAGCAGUCCAGUUUACAAGAUGACAAGAGUUCGAGAGACAAGAUACAAGAUCACUGAAACAAGAGCCAAGACUGAAGAUUCAAGAGAAGAGAAAGCUGGCAGCCAUGGACUUACAAGUGGAGAUUAAUAAGGUCAUGUAAAGUUUUAUUUUUUUUUAUGGAAGACAGUAACUGGAGUUUUUUUUUUGUUAUAAACAUUAUUUACAGAACUUUUUAGGUUAUAGUAAUGUAAUGGAACUAGUGAGUUGUGGUAGCUGUCAAAAAGAACUAAUACCUUAAGUUUAAUUUUUAAAGUUAAUUUUCUUAAUUUACAGAGGGAUUAGUAGUUUUUUUUAAACCUUAUUUAGGUUGGAAUUUAAAUACAAUAGCUUAUUAUAAAUGUGUACGAACAGUUCAAGUUCACAGUACUGAUAGGUAGGUCAGAUGAUCUUAUUGAUUUUGAUGAUUUGUUGUUUUGAGUUGAUUUUUAAGUGUUGUGAAUUAGACAAUGAAAUAGUUCUGAAAACUUAAAUUAUUUCAAGCUAAGAAAUAGUAAAGUUAAUUGUAACUCAAAGGACACCAGAAUUUAAUUUUUUUUUGAAUUAGUAAUGUUUGAAAAUUUUAUACUUUACAAGAAAGGUUAUAAACAAACAGAUCGGAUGGAACAAGGAUGCAGUAAAUCACAAUUUCAUUUAGAAUUAUUGAUUAGCUUUUGAGGUUAUGAAGUAAAAGUAAUUAUAGUUUAAAAGUUUGAAUAAAAAAAAAUGUUUUUUUUUAUUUGUUUGAAAUAGAAAGUUUAAAAGUUAAUUAGUCAUGAUCUAGGUGGGUGAUGGGGUGGGAAUUGGCCACUCUUUUUCCCUAUAACCUCCCUAACAUGGCCUUCUAUUACAACUAACAGAAAUAAAGAAGAAGAAAAAUGAAGAAUUAUUAGUUAGAAUGUUUCUUUCAUGAAGAUACCUGAUGAACUUUUACUGUUUGGAAGAAUAGAAGCAAGGUUAGUCAGAUAUUUUUACUCAGAAGAAGAAGAAGAUAAAGCAGUUUUAUGACUCGACAAGCCAGAGAUUGGUGUUUCCCCUCUGCGCUUCUAUUGACUACGUUGUUUACUCUCAUGGGAUAGCUGGUUCGGCACCAUGGAGAGAGAUUGGUGGGCAUUGUGGUUGCCCCCAGAAGAAAAGAAGAGUAGAAGAGGUUAUGGGUGGGUCAUGUGAACUGACCUUCAACCCAGUUACUUCGUGGGGACUAUUUGCUGUAUAGAGAAGAUCAAGACUCAAGAGUUAGGGAAAAUCAUUGGAGGUCAUGUUUCCCUUCCUUAAGUUUUUCCUAUCAAAUUAUUUGCCUGAUUAGAUUAUGCUAAGGGUGGGAUACUUUAUGUUAGCAGUUGAAUUAAUUAAUUUUAUUUUUUUGUGUGUUUGUAUCCUUGCCCAUCGAUUGCAGUUUAGUAGUUAGUUUUGUAUUUGUCAGGCGUGAUGGUAAUGCCUGUUGAUGAUGUUUCAGAAUUGUAAUCUGUUCGUGAUGAGGAUGGCACAACUCCGAAGCAGAUGUGGGGAGAAGUUGUGAGCUGCCCUGGAAGCCAGUCCAGUAGCUGUUGGAGUUGAGUGGUGUUUGCUGAUGGCCAGCCCAGGGAGCUACUCUUCUCGACAACACUGACUUCGAGGAGUUGCACCAACCUUCACGAGAUAAGAGUUUAAUUAAUUGAAACACUGUAAGGACACUUAAUUUUUUUUGAAGAACGAAAGAAGUAUGGUAAUAAACGGAAACUGAAAAAAAAA